ensembl:lncRNA
UUUUCCAUAAUAAUUAAAAGCAUAGCUAUUGUAACCUCUGGGUGUGCAGAGUGAAAACAUUUUCUUAAAGUCAGUCCUUAAGCAGACUAUAAGCAAGGGAAUGCCCAAGUGAAAUUCAGUUACCAUGCAGCAAAGCAGUGCCAGCUCUCUGUAUCUCUAUAUCCUACCAAUUACUUAGCAGAUCAUAGGAUAAGGGCUGCCCAUGGAAUGGUCCAAGUGCACCUUGCAGCCUGUUCUAGGGUGAGAGAAGAGGACAGAUGGGUGCAACGAGGUCUAGCAUGAUUUAAUGAAUUUAUAUAGGUUGGCUUAACAAUGGUGAUCAAUAUAUUAGCUUAAGGACCAAUAUACAAGUCUGGGAUCAAAGAAGCAGGAGCCUUUGUCUGAUGAUAAGGCAAGGAAUGUCAAAGGAAAAUGAACUGGCACAUAUCUUUUGCCAUGUAACUGAAUAUCAUUUUAUACAGCUCAAUGCUCAUCAAUGUAAAGUCUGUAUUUGGGAACUAAAUGGCAGAACCUGAGACACCUCCAGUAAUACCAUUGCUUUCUAGGAAAUCCUGGUGGAACUGUUGAGGUGAUCUGCAUAGUAAUUUGCCCUGACAGCAAACAACAUUUCCUGUAGCUGCCCAUAUAUUUUGUCGGGGUAGCUAGAAUGAGUUCUGAUGUGCCACCUGAGUGGAAAUGACCUGAUCCAGAGUGGGUACAUACACCAAGCCGUGGAUUUGAAAGCAUACCUUCACUUUCUUUUUCUUUCUUCAGUCUCUAGGUCAGAGAGUAAAUCCAUCUGUUUUUGCACCCUGCUGGCAAUGUUUUUUGAAUCACUGAAGGAAGGUGUUGUGCUCCUUCCUUGGCCUGAGUGAAACAGGUAAAUUCUGUUGGCGUCCUGAUCUCUCUGUGCGAUGAGGCUACACACUGUCUCUGGAGGACAGCUACCCUUGGACAAUCACUAUCCUGGGACUUCUUAUCAGCAAAAAUCCUAUAAGUAAUGUGUUCAUCCUCGUCACAACACAUCUAUCCCAAGGGGACUGCAGCUGCUGCUACUGAAGACCUAGGGCUCAGGUGGUGCCAGCAGAAUAACAAAAGAAUUGGCUUGAUGCUGCACUGCCAAAAACCUCUGUGGAUAACAUGUGAAGCUGGGAAGAAGGCAGCUGGAGAAAAGAAGAACAGUCAUUUUGGGCCAAUGAGAAACAUUUCAUUCAGCUGCAUCCUACUUAGUUUUGUUGCAUAGACAAAGCUUUUGUUUAAGCUUUUCCUUUCACUUUAUGUCAACUUUAAAUCAAAUUAAUGCUAAGAGGAAUAAAAUUCUAACUGAAAAAGUGAAAAGAUAAGGAGCCUUUUGGAAUUAAUGAAAGAAAGUGUUUCCAGAACAAGGACUUUAUGUUGCCAACAUCUGAGUGAAAUACUUUGAGGCUUUUGAAGUCCUUCAGUACACACAAGCACCCACAUUUCUUAUUGGCCAAGUACCAAAUUCAGCGAUGUCUUAAGAAUAUCCCAUCCUUCUGUGUGUGUUUAUUCUUUGUUACAUACAAGUGUCAAAACAACUAGGGGAAUUAUCACAGGCUAGUGGCAAGACAGAGAGUAAACUUGGUCAUAGGACUGUAAUGUAAUUAACGGCUGUGGACAAAUAUCUGGGAACAUAAGUUAAAUUAUCAUGUAGGGGCUACCAGAGAAAAGCAGAAAGCUUAACAUCAUCAGUUAAAUUGAAUAGCUCAAAUCACUUCACUGACAAACCUGGGAGAGCUAGCAGACACAAAGGGGAGGUAAGGCAAGAAAUAACAUCCAAAAGCCAGACCAAAGGUUCAGUACAGUCUCUGACCUAAUAUAAUGUGGAUUCUUUAUCUAUUAGUUUAAAAUCCUCCUGUUUUUUUUCUGGUCUCAUUCAUUUUCUUUCAUUUCUGGCUCUGGUAAUACCUGUCAAAGGGAACAUAACUCAAGUGACCUAAUUUUGGUGGUUAUAAGGACCGUAAUAGAAAGUAUUACUUUUAUUUCACACCAGUAGGUCAAAUUAAUUCUAUCAGCCAGAACUCAUGUUGGUGACCAGGCCCUGUGAAGAACCUCCUCGUGCUCCUUGGCUCUGGAUGUGCAAUUACAAUUGAAGAAGAAUUGCUUGGAGCCCCGGAACUGCAGAGGGCAUGGACAUGCUUCCAGCAUGCAGGGGUUUCCUAUCAUGUGCUGCAGAUCGGCAUUUUUUGGACAGAGUUUCUUUCUUAUCCACGUGCUUUGCAUUUCUAGAGAUUUCCAGACUUACAGCAUUCUCCUCUCCAGAAUAAACUUUUUCCAUUAAAAAAACUCCCACAAUUGAUAGAGCUGUCAUUAGG